ACCCAUGGCAGAAAGUUAAGUGAAGAUCAGAAAUUAUCCAUAUAUCUUCUCAGCUGAGGAUGCUUUAACUUCAGUUAACACAUAUGGUGACUGGAUAAGAGGUUUACAUCUUGAGGCUCCAUAGGAGUUCAUGGAGAUAAGGGUUCAGAGAGCUCUGGAGAUACCAGCUAUUCCAGUGUCAGACCUAUAAGAAAAAAGGAGAAAAUACUUUAUUCCAGAUCCAUAGUAAGGAAAUUGUAUGGAAAUGCUGGAGCAUACAAAAUAACCACAUCCACUAUACAGAGAUAAGGAACAAAUCCCAACAAACUUAAGAAAGAAAGAAAGAAAAAAAAGAAAGGAAGAAAGAAGAAAAAGGAGAAAAAGACAAGAAAGAAAAGAAAAAAGCAAAAGGAAAGGAAAGAAAAGGAAAGGAGGAGUAAAGAGAAAGGAAUGAAAGAAAGGAAGAUAACUUUAAAAACAUAUCAGCUCUGCUUAACUAAGUUACCAGGAAAAAAAAAGUACAGAAACCAAGUGUUUUGCAGUCAUGAAGCAGGGAUGACGCCUCCUCCAGGAUCAUCAAGUUGCCUUAUCCCAAUUGAGAGCAUAACAGGGUUUUCUUAACCUCAUCAUGAACCAUGGGCAGGGACUUCAUGAAGGCAACAAAGCAGAACAGGCUGAGAAGACUAAAUACCUUAGGAAACAGCUUUGCAAUAUGCUGAAGUCAGAUGUGAGGCAGAGGCUGGAAGUAAGAAGAAAAAAUAAUAGGUUCUAUCUUUCAAAGUACUCUAGGACUUCAAUAAAGAGUAAGUACUUUUUUUUUUUUUUUCCCAAUCUAGGUAAGACCAUUUAAAGCAGUUGACCCUGGUAAGACUGUAGAUUUGUGCUUAGAUCCACUUCCAGUGUCCAGACACAAAGCAACUGAACCAAUGUAAGAUUCAGUUUCACCCAUUAGAAAGUUAAAGAGAAUCUGCAAAGGGGAAAUCACUGAUCAUGAGCAGGGGUGUGAAAACCACAUUAUUCCAUAUCUUCUGAUCAAGAUUUUGUGAGGCUCAGAGGUGAGCAAUUUUAUUGGAUUUAUGAUAUGUCUGUGAAAUGAAAUCAAAGGAAAUCAAGAACAAUAAAUAUGCCUUAUAGUAGUACUAUAGGUGAAAA
rnacentral:lncRNA from 1 species